UACAGAGGGUGCGAGCGUUAAUCGGAAUUACUGGGCGUAAAGCGUGCGUAGACGGUUAUUUAAGUCGGGUGUGAAAGCCCUGGGCUCAACCCAGGAAGUGCACUCGAAACUGGCAGGCUAGAGUACUGGAGAGGUUGGUGGAAUUCUCGGUGUAGAGGUGAAAUUCGUAGAUAUCGAGAGGAACACCGGUGGCGAAGGCGGCCAACUGGACAGAUACUGACGCUGAGGCGCGACAGCGUGGGGAGCAAACAGG
rnacentral:rRNA from 1 species